GGUACAGACAAGUGCUCAGUAAGUUAUUUGUUGACUAAGUGAAGAAAUGAAUAAGGCAAAGCUUUGAAGUUACUGACUUACGAAGGAAAAUGGAAAGAAGACUCAAGAUAGAGGUGGCAGGAAAAAGAAAGUAGCAAUCUAUUAGGUGGCACCAGAACUCAAAGUCAAGCAUCUGGAAAAGGCUAUCUGUUCCAAGCCUUUAUUGUUGAAUGGAUGACUUGUAUAAAGAUAUUUGAAGUGA